rnacentral:lncRNA from 1 species
CUAACCUUCAACCUAAAUGUCCUAGAAGAGUAUGAAUUCAGGACACUUGGUGGGCAAUGGCGGGGCGGAGUGGGGGUGGGGAAAGACUUCGGUCAGCGAGAAGAGGAAAGAAAGCAGAAAAAGCCAAGGCCAAGGCCUAGGGGCGGAGAGGGGGUAGAGGGUGUUGUAGACCCUCCCUUAUAACCAGAGAAAGGCAAACUCUAACCGCAGGGAGGUGAUGCCACUCGUGGGCAGUCAGAUUGGAGAAGAGCGAGAUGAUUGAUUGACAGGGAGGUGCGCGCUGUGGCCCAGCGCACAAACAGGCGGUUGUCCGUGCUUGUGCACGAGGCGGAAGUGGGGCGCUCCUGCUGCACUGGCCGCCGGAGUUGGGGGCGAGCUCGGCGGUGACGUGGGGUGCUCACGUGAUCGCGAGCUGCAGAGCGACGCAGCCUUCGGUGCAGUCGUCACUCCUGUCUGGGUACCAGCUCCCCACUCCCCUGCGCACGGCGGGUUGGCAUCAGGCCCGCAGCAAGCGGAGCAGGUCUGCCGAACCAAGUGUGGCGGCGGCGCACUCGUGGCGAGGAUCAGAAGGAGCAAGAGACAGCAAGGAUAGGCCCAGCAAACUUGACUGUCUAUUGAAGAAACUUAAAAAGGGUCACCUUUGUGACCAGAGCCAGCAUUGCACUUUGAACACCACUGAGCAGGAAACCUGAGACAGAGAAAUAGGGUUAAUCUUAAUGGUGGAACAUAUUUUGACCUGCUGAGAUUGAG